rnacentral:rRNA from 1 species
GACGAACGCUGGCGGCGUGCCUAACACAUGCAAGUCGAGCGGGGAGAUCCUUUCGGGGAUCUUCUAGCGGCGGACGGGUGAGUAACGCGUGAGCAAUCUGUCCCAUACAGGGGGAUAACAGCUGGAAACAGCUGCUAAUACCGCAUGAGACCACAGAGCCGCAUGGCUUAGGGGUCAAAGGAGCAAUCCGGUAUGGGGUGAGCUCGCGUCUGAUUAGAUAGUUGGUGAGGUAACGGCCCACCAAGUCAACGAUCAGUAGCCGACCUGAGAGGGUGAUCGGCCACAUUGGAACUGAGACACGGUCCAA